rnacentral:lncRNA from 1 species
AUUAGUUGCAGUGUGUCCGUCUCCCUCAGUUUUCUCAGGUUGUGUUUGUUUAGUGAAAAGUGCUGAUUUUCAAUUAUUUCCGUUUUCAUUUAGCUUUAACAAGUACUGCAGUUUAGAUCUGCUUUCUCCAUGUGUUUUAAAUUGACUAGCUACCAAAAUUUUUAUAGUAUUUCUAGUGUGUUCCACUGAAGAAAGAAAUGCACACAGAUCUAGACAAACAUGCUUAUUAUACUGAAGAAAGAAAUCUAUACAGAUUUGGAAAGACAUGCAUAUUCCACUGAAGAAAGAAAUGUAUACAAAUUUGGAAAGACAUGAUCAUCAUGUUCAAGGAAACAGUUUGGAGCAGCUUUAGAGAAAAGCAACCUUGAUGUUCACAGCCUGGCGUCCGACAGUUUUUCCAUCACUCUUGAACACUAUCGAUCCAUCCGUCUCUCUUCGGCCUCAUCCCUGCACACGUGUGUUUGCAGCAUAUAGUACGGCUGAAACCCAUUUCACCUCUGAUUCCAGACCACUUGGCUUUUCUGUCCGCUGCUUUCAACAACACGAGGCAGCUCGCAAUGUCACGCUGAGCUGGAGGCAGAAUAUUUUGUCCCGUCCAGCAGUCGAGCGGCAUCCCAUCAGCCUGAGGACAGCGCAGGCAACUGGCCAGAGAAGACAGACAGACAAAAGGUUCAUAUGUAUUCCUGCCAAAGCAGCAGCACAUUCUGUCUGGCUUUUAAGCUCCCCGAUGACUUUAUUCUAAUGGAUGUGGUUUAAAUGCCCUCUUGUGGUUUGGUGGCAUAAAUCCUCAUAAAAGCAACCAAAGACUCACCACACCUUCAAAACAAUCCAACAGAUCAUGUUCUCGGUGAUGUUUCCAUUGAAUGAGUCUGUGCCGUUACACACAGCGGUGGACACGAUGGGCAGCUUUACUGUGCGCAGGAUUGAAGAGAUGCCUCCGGUUGAAGUGGUAAAGCCCCAGCCGGAGACGCUGCAUAGGCGACCCACGGCCACCAUUGCGUCCUGACGUGGCAGCGGCACCAGAGACACGUAGCUGUUCAGAUAGACUGGAGACUGCAGCUGCGCAGCUGACGGCCAGGAUCUCCAGCAGGACACAGAGCAGCAGCAGCAGCAGAUUCAUGACUGAUGAUGGAGACUCACAGACGAACAGAAACACACUGACGACGGCUCUGCUUCUGCUGCUCGGAUUCCUCACCUGCGGAAGAAAGCUUCACCUCCGCAUUAUCAGGUUUCCUAGUUUCUAUUUCAGUCUCCAAGGCCCCAAUGUCGUCUGAGAACACGGACAAUAUAUAAUUGAGACUCGCUUAACCGAAAACCCUGUGAUCUUUUGUCUUGGGUCUGAUUUUGGGAGGAUGAGUACACUGUAAAAUCACUGGAUCAGUAGUAUCAGUACACUUUUUAAAAAAAAAGCUGGGGUCCACACAAUUGAUUUGAUAAGUUUUUACAAAUUUAAGUGGAUUGCACAUAAAACAAGUUUCUGUGAAUAAAAACUGAAGAGU